rnacentral:rRNA from 1 species
UACGUAGGGUGCGAGCGUUGUCCGGAAUUAUUGGGCGUAAAGAGCUCGUAGGCGGUGUGUCACGUCGGUCGUGAAAACUUUCAGCUUAACUGGGAGCUUGCGGUCGAUACGGGCAUCACUGGAGUUCGGCAGGGGAGACUGGAAUUCAAGGUGUAGCGGUGAAAUGCGCAGAUAUCUUGAGGAACACCGGUGGCGAAGGCGGGUCUCUGGGCCGAUACUGACGCUGAGGAGCGAAAAGCGUGGGGAGCGAACAGGG